UCGAGAAUCUUCGGCAAUGGGCGCAAGCCUGACCGAGCGACGCCGCGUGGAGGAUGAAGGCCUUCGGGUUGUAAACUCCUGUCGAGGGGGAGGAAGGGGUAACCUUGACCUAUCCCUGGAGGAAGCACGGGCUAAGUUCGUGCCAGCAGCCGCGGUAAGACGAACCGUGCGAACGUUAUUCGGAAUCACUGGGCUUAAAGCGCGUGUAGGCGGAUGGGGACGUCGGUCGCUGAAAUCCCCCGGCUCAACCGGGGAACUGGCGCCGAAACGCCCCGUCUGGAGGGACGUAGGGGGACCUGGAACUUCCGGUGGAGCGGUGAAAUGCGUUGAGAUCGGAAGGAACGCCCGUGGCGAAAGCGAGGUCCUGGACGUUUUCUGACGCUGAGACGCGAAAGCUAGGGUAGCGAACGGGAUUAGAUACCCCUGUAGUCC
rnacentral:rRNA from 1 species